rnacentral:rRNA from 1 species
GAUGAACGCUGGCGGCGUGCCUAACACAUGCAAGUCGAACGGCCCGCAAGGGCAGUGGCAAACGGGUGCGUAGCACGUAGGGAUCUACCGCAUAGCUGGGGACAACGAUUGGAAACGGUCGCUAAUACCCGAUGUGCUCUGAGGAGCAAAGACGCAAGUCACUAUGCGAGGAGCCUGCGGCCUAUCAGGUAGUUGGUGAGGUAAUGGCUCACCAAGCCAUCGAC